rnacentral:rRNA from 1 species
AGAGUUUGAUCAUGGCUCAGGAUGAACGCUGGCGGCGUGCCUAGUACAUGCAAGUCGAGCGCCUGGACUUUGCCCAUUAACCCCUGUUAGUGAGUGAUGUCCAGGAGCGGCGGACGGCUGAGUAACGCGUAGGAACGUACCCCAAACUGAGGAAUAAGCUCCGGAAACGGAGUCUAAUGCCGCAUGUGCUCUUCGGAGUAAAGCUUUUAGCGGUUUGGGAGCGGCCUGCGUAUGAUUAGCUUGUUGGUGAGGUAAUGGCUCACCAAGGCGAUGAUCAUUAGCUGGUCUGAGAGGAUGAUCAGCCAGACUGGAACUGAGACACGGUCCAGACUCCUACGGGAGGCAGCAGUAGGGAAUUUUCCGCAAUGGGCGAAAGCCUGACGGAGCAACGCCGCGUGCAGGAGGAAGGCCUUCGGGUCGUAAACUGCUUUUAUCUGUGAUGAAUUUGACAGUAACAGAAGAAUAAGGACCUGCUAACUACGUGCCAGCAGCCGCGGUCAUACGUAGGGUCCAAGCGUUAUCCGGAAUUACUGGGCGUAAAGAGUUGCGUAGGUGGCAUAGUAAGCAAAUAGUGAAAGCGUGAGGCUCAACCUCAUAUCCAUUAUUUGAACUACUAAGCUAGAGCAUGAGAGAGGUAGAUGGAAUUUCUAGUGUAGGAGUGAAAUCCGUAGAUAUUAGAAGGAACACCGAUGGCGUAGGCAGUCUACUGGCUCAUUGCUGACACUAAGGCACGAAAGCGUGGGGAGCGAACGGGAUUAGAUACCCCCGUAGUCC